rnacentral:lncRNA from 1 species
AAUGAGGUAGAGUUUUUGGAAUGUGAAAUUUAUGAUUCUAAUAAAUAUAUAAAUACUUGAAAAAUAUAUAAAAAAAUUUUAAAAAUAGUUUCAAACAUUAUUUCAUUUUUCUAAAAAAAAUUUGAAAAAAAUAAAAAAAUAAUUCGAAAAAAAAAAUUCAAAAAUCUUUUUUUUUAUAAAAAAGUUCGAAUUUGUAAAAGUAUAAUUCGAAAACAUAAAUUUUUUAAUUUUUAAUUUUUAAUUUUUUUUAAAGUUUUUUUAUUUAUUUAUUUUUUUUUUAAUUUUUAAUUUUAAUUUUAGUUUUUUUUAUUUUAUUUAAAUAAUGAUUUAUUAUAUAUAUAAAUAACAAGGACAUAAGAGUCUUUUGCCACUUAAUAAAGAAUGUAUUUUUGAAAAUGUCUCAUUAGUGGUGGUAAAAAUGAAAAGUGGUACCAUGAAAGUGGUAAACAUGUAAUUUCUAUAUUUUUAUGUUUAAUAACGUUUAGAAAAUACUUAACUUUGAUUUCUAUAUUUUUAUUUUCAUUUGAU